rnacentral:rRNA from 1 species
GACGAACGCUGGCGGCGUGCCUAAUACAUGCAAGUCGAACGCAGUGGGGACGGGUGAGUAACACGUGGGUAACCUCCCAUCAGAGGGGAUAACACUUGGAAACAGGUGCUAAACCGAUACUGAUGGAUGGACCCGCGGUGCAUUAGCUAGUUGGUGAGGUAACGGCUCACAAAGGCCACGAUCCAUAGCGGCCCUGAGGGGUUGACCGGCCACACUGGGACGGAGACACGGCCCAGACUCCUACGGAAGGCAGCAGUAGGGAAUUUUCGGCAAUGGACGAAAGUCUGACCGAGCAAGGCGGCGUGAGUGAAGAAGUUUUUCGGAUCGUAAAACUCUGUUGUUAGGAAAGCGGUAUCUAACCAGAAAGCCACGGCUAACUACGUGCCAGCAGCCGCGGUAAUAC